UUACGACCACAUCACGUCGAAACACCGAUUCCCGUAAGAUCACCGAAGUUAAGAAACGUCGAGCCUGUUAAGUACUUAAUUGGGUGACCACUUGGGGAUAUCAGGUGCUGUAA